rnacentral:rRNA from 1 species
ACAGAGGGGGCAAGCGUUGUUCGGAAUUACUGGGCGUAAAGGGCGCGUAGGCGGCCUGUUAAGUCGAACGUGAAAUCCCCGGGCUCAACCCGGGAACUGCGUCCGAUACUGGCAGGCUUGAAUUCGGGAGAGGGAUGCGGAAUUCCAGGUGUAGCGGUGAAAUGCGUAGAUAUGUGGAGGAACACCGGUGGCGAAGGCGGUUCUCUAACUUAUUCCUGACGCUGAGGCGCGAAAGCAAGGGGAGCAAACAGGA